UUGGAAUGGACGUCUACGUCCAUUUGGGUAGCAGGCCCAUUGAAUGCAUAAGUGGCAGACAUAUUUGUGCAUUACAACGUGAGUUGGCAUCCUCGUCAUCAUCAUCAUCAGCACAAUCCGGCGAAUAAAGGAUGUAAACUGUUUUCGAGUCCAUCGGUGUGUCUGGAUGGGACGGGCUUUUGGGUCCUUUCAAGUGCUUCUCUUCACCUGUCUGCUGAAUGGUAAUAUGGUAUUUCAUCCCAUCCUCCCAUUGCUGCGUGUAUUUGCUUUGACCGGUGCAAUGAUUGCAACUUUUCAAUUUGUAUUUACAAAAGCGAAACAAUGCCGGGCAUAUAGAUGCGGCUACGACUGUAUGAAAUGAGCUUAACAAAUUUGAGCUGAAAACAAUGCGAAGUACGCAGAUUCGAGGGUGAUUUUAAAUCACUUUAGCCAAAAAUAAAUAUAUCAGUAAAUAACAAUA